UACGUAGGGUGCAAGCGUUAAUCGGAAUACUGGGCGUAAAGCGUGCGCAGGCGGUGAUGUAAGACAGUUGUGAAAUCCCCCGGGCUCAACCUGGGGAACUGCAUCUGUGACUGCAUCGCUGGAGUGCGGCAGAGGGGGAUGGAAUUCCGCGUGUAGCAGUGAAAUGCGUAGAUAUGCGGAGGAACACCGAUGGCGAAGGCAAUCCCCUGGGCCUGCACUGACGCUCCAUGCACGAAAGCGUGGGGAGCAACAGG
rnacentral:rRNA from 1 species